UACGUAGGGGCCGAGCGUUGUCCGGAAUUACUGGGCGUAAAGCGUGCGCAGGCGGUUUGUUAAGUCCGUUGUGAAAGCCCCGAGCUCAACUUGGGAAUUGCAGUGGAUACUGGCAGGCUGGAGUACGGUAGAGGAAGGUGGAAUUCCCGGUGUAGCAGUGAAAUGCGUAGAUAUCGGGAGGAACACCAGUGGCGAAGGCGGCCUUCUGGACCAGUACUGACGCUCAUGCACGAAAGCGUGGGGAGCAAACAGG
rnacentral:rRNA from 1 species